GACAUUAAGAAGCUGGACUCCUCUGCCACGACCUACUUCGACAAGAUGAAGGUGCUGGCGGACACACUCACCUCUAUCGGUCGACCGCUCAGCGACGAGGAGUUUGUUGGCUUUGUUAUCAAAGGCCUCGAUGCCGACUAUGACAAUCUCGCCGAGGCUGUGCACAACGCCAAGCCAGCGAUGCCCCCGCACGAGCUCUACUCACGACUCCUCUACACCGAGCAGCGCGUCGAGGCUUAUCGCUCCUUCUCCACCAUCACCUCAUAG
rnacentral:rRNA from 1 species